UACGUAGGGGGCGAGCGUUGUCCGGGGUUACUGGGCGUAAAGCGCACGCAGGCGGUCUGCUAAGUUUGGAGUGACAGUUGGUGGCUUAACUGCCAAAGUGCUUCGAAAACUGACAGACUUGAGGGCUUCAGAGGGACACGGAAUUCCGGGUGUAGCGGUGGAAUGCGUAGAGAUCCGGAAGAACACCGGUGGCGAAGGCGGCCUGCUGGGCAGUGGCUGACACUGAGGCGCGACAGCGUGGGGAGCAAACAGG
rnacentral:rRNA from 1 species